UCCUCCCCCAUCCCUUCCCUUUCCCAUCCUUCUAUCCAAUUUUAUUAUGUUUUGGUUGAGUAGAUUGAUUUUAGUAGAUUGAUUUGAGUAGGUUCUUAGGAUUUGACUAGUUAGGAUUUGGUUGAGUAUAUGAGUAGUUAGUAGUUAGUAGUAGUAGUAGUUAGUAGUAGUAGUAGGUAUAGGAAUUGCAUUAGGUUUUGGUUUUGGUUGAG
rnacentral:lncRNA from 1 species